rnacentral:rRNA from 1 species
AUUGAACGCUGGCGGCAUGCCUUACACAUGCAAGUCGAACGGCAGCGCGGGGCAACCUGGCGGCGAGUGGCGAACGGGUGAGUAAUAUAUCGGAACAUACCCUAGAGUGGGGGAUAACGUAGCGAAAGUUACGCUAAUACCGCAUACGCACUAAGGUGGAAAGUGGGGGAUCUUCGGACCUCAUGCUCAUGGAGUGGCCGAUAUCUGAUUAGCUAGUUGGUGAGGUAAAGGCUCACCAAGGCGACGAUCAGUAGCUGGUUUGAGAGAACGACCAGCCACACUGGAACUGAGACACGGUCCAGACUCCUACGGGAGGCAGCAGUGGGAAUUUUGGACAAUGGGGGCAACCCUGAUCCAGCAAUGCCGCGUGAGUGAAGAAGGCCUU